rnacentral:piRNA from 1 species
UGACCAGAUCCUGCUAAAUAAAAAGAUUGC